rnacentral:rRNA from 1 species
GAACAUAAGAGUUUGAUCCUGGCUCAGAUUGAACGCUGGCGGCAUGCUUUACACAUGCAAGUCGGACGGCAGCACGAGUACUUGUACUUGGUGGCGAGUGGCGAACGGGUGAGUAAUAUAUUGGAACGUACCGAGUAAUGGGGGAUAACUAUCCGAAAGGAUGGCUAAUACCUGUCUCUUAUACACAUCU